rnacentral:tRNA from 1 species
GCCCCCAUGGUGUAACCUGGAUAGCACAGAAGCUUGCGGAGCUUCUAGUCUGGGUUCAAAUCCCAGUGGGGGCA